AUUGGUGUUGCCGAAGAAUACAAUAUUUGAGAUUCAAUAGCCCGCCCCCGUUCCAUUACGCGCGACACUCGGCGAUUAGUCGGCUAAUGCAUUCAUCCGACCGCAGCAGGGUAGCAUACAGUCGCAGCUGAGUGUAAGAUUUUGUAUCAAUCUUGUAACGGUGGCGAAAUGAGCGCUGUUAAAUAUUGAGCCUAACGGGAAAACCACUCGUAGGGAAGAGCUUAUAACGACGACGAAUAAAUGGCUCAUUUGCUACGAGAGAUUUUAGUGGGCGUCCAUCAUCUGCGAAGAGGUACGCUUCUAUCCGGCAGAUGAGCAGUGCUUGGUUAAGAAGCUGUAACUUCAUUCAGUGUCGUCUCUCCUCUUUAUCCGCUGCCACCCUUUUCACGCGGUGAGUUGAAUGAAUUUCGCUCGUUUAACGUUUGAAAUGAGAAGGACGAAUUCGCCUGUGAGAAGAUGCAGACAUUCGCGCUCGUCUCUCGUCCGCGGAAAAUGGUAAAUUCGUCUAGAGCUACCGUUGUCACGGAAACCGGGGUCGCGGAAUGGGGGUUUGUAGAAUGCUGGCAAUAAGAUCGGACAGUACUCAUUUGCAUGUCUGUUGAUUAUGACCAGAGACAGAUAUCAAGCAUUGAAGAACGAUCCUAAAAAUCUUUCGCAUCCAAACUCAGAUGAACAAAAACUCUGGGAACUAUACUUGCACUUAUUUUGUAACUGGGAUUUUUUUUUAAACAGAAAUUGUUAGAUAUGCAACACCACUUUAUGAAGUAUGACAAACACAAGUCAGUAGUAAAGUCUGGUUGUGUGUUUUUAAGUUCCUGUCUAUUGUGCGUUGUGCAGCUAAGUGACAGUAAAGAACCAGAUUGAGAUUUUCAGUUGGUCUGACAGCUGUGUGUGCAAUGGGUUCACUUUCAGCAAAUAGAACUUGCGUACAGUUGUCUCUGGUAAUGAUUAAGGUUAGUAUUCAAAACGAUGAGCAUGAAAAUGAAUGUUUUGCAUCUGAAAAAUCGGAGCAUGUGCAAAAGGCAUGAAUAUGUAGAUAAUAAAGGUGGCAUAUCAUGCAAACAUACUAAUAAACUAAUAAUAAUAUAUAAUAUAAUAAUCAUAAUAUUUAUCAUAAUCAACAUGCAAUAAAUUUCAAAUACACGUUAUUAUGCAUUAUUUAUAGCACACAAAUUGAUCGAAUAGGUGAAAUCAAGAAAAAUAUUUUACAGGCAGUACGUUGAAAGAGUCACAAUUGAAUGUAUUCUAUGCAGUCAUAAAUGAGAUGCAUCUAGAUUUGAGGAAAAAUCAAAGCAAAUAAUUGAUGCGCUAUCAUUUUAACUGUUGAACAGAUAAGCGUCCUUUUAUUUCUUGUGAUAUAAUUCGGUAGUUUGGAGAAUAAAAAACGAAUAAAUUAAUAUUGUAAGGCUUUUGAGCUAUUUUUCAUCAUAUCUCAACAUCAUUUGUUUAGUUAUACUCUAUAUGAGGAAAGUAACCAAGAUAGCCAACAGAAAAUUAAAUGACUAAUUACCUAUUGCAACUAGCUGCCAAAGAACUAGGAAGGGAGCGCCACUGUAGCUCAUUGAUUCGAUAGUCAACAAUUAAUAUUAUUGAUCUGUAUUGUAGGAACUAAAUUUACUUCGACAGCUCGUACUAUCAUUUCCUUAGAUCAGUUAUGGCAAUGUUUUACCGCGCCAUCAGAUGGGAGGGAGGUCCAGGUGGUUCACGGACCAGCGAAUGGUGGUGCGAUGCGUUUGGACCUUACGAAGUUUUGCUGGACUCUUCAGCAACUGCAGGGAAUUUCAGUAUAGCAGGCCCCUCACAUGGACAGCCCUUAACUCACAGGGGUGUUGGACCUUUUUUGAUGCGACCCCGAGAAAAGCUCAAGGACGGAUUCAAGCUUGUUUGCUCCCAGUCUCGCCGAAAAGCUGAUCCGUGCAAAGCUACGGCGUCUCUUGACAGCAACGGUGUCUUCCUCUUAAGGCGACACUUCCACAAUCACGGUCCUGAAUUACAUUUACCCCAGCCGGCAUCACCGCACGUACAUCUUCCACCUCCACCAAGUUUUGAAGAGGCUGCAGCGACGCUUGCCCCACCGCUUGGCCCAAUGAAAAAAGUCCUUGAGGAGUACGACACUACAAUGAUGAUUUUUGAUGAGAGCAAACAGGAGAUGGUUGAAACGCCUAUCACUAUGGAAAAUUACAUGGACAUUGUUAAAAGAGUCAAGAUGGAGGAAGUAGGCAGCAAAAGAGUAUUCCGAUGCCCAGUUCCAUCCUGCCAUCAUCAUUUCGGGUUUCGACCGAACCUUUAUGCGCACAUGAGGUUGCAUAUGCGUGGACGACGUAUGGCGUCGAUUCAGGCACCGGAGAAGCUUUGCCCACUCUGUCGUGUUGAUAUGGUCACGCACGAGGCUUUGGUUCGUCACAUCGUUGACGACCAUGACACCCGGCUGGAAUGCACAGAACACGAGUUCGAAACGUACGAUGCGUUCAAAAAAUGGAAGAUUCGUACCGAACAGGAAGACACGUCUACUUUUACUAUGCACAUGGGUAUGACACACAGCAAAUCAAAUGCAGUAUUCAGCUGUUGCCGAACAGGUCGAAAGCUAACUCAGGACGAAUACAGUAUGCAUACCUCGUACAGAAAACGACUCGGAGUGGAAUGCCCAGCGGCCAUGGUCGUUAGAGAGGUUGACGGCCGAGUUACUGUUACUUACUGGAGGAGUCAUAUCGGCCAUACACCUAAUAUUCUCGAUGUCAGAUUAACUACCGAGCACAAAGCGUGGAUUAAAGAUUUAGUGGAGAAAGGCUAUCGUAAGCGGGCCAUUGCUGCCGAAGCAGCAAGAAAUUACUUUGGUCAGGAACUGAGUCGCAGUGUUAUUAUGGACCCAGAAACGCUAAAACGUAUAUUGGUUGUUCUCAAUCUCAGCGAUAGCAAAGGAACGAUUGAUGUUCCGAUUAAGCACGACCCAAACAAUGUCGACCAGAUUCGGCUCUUCCUCGUGCAGAUGAUUCGAGACGGUUUGGAACGCCUGGGGUCUCUUGAGACUGAGCUGCAACAUUUACCGAAAGAACAUGGUGUUGAUGACCACAAAACUGUCCCUAUGGACAAUAUGCGAAUGUUGCGGCACGACCCUACCGGGCAUAUCCACAUGAAUCGUUUGUCGAAUGAAGUUGAUCGAAAGACAGUGGAAAACAAAUACCAGUAUACCACCGUUGUUUAUCCACGAAAAUCACCACAUGAAACAUGUGAGCAACUGUGUCAAGAAUGUGGCGUCUGUGCACACAGGUAUGGCUGUACGUGCAUCAAAUUUAUGUACGAUGAUAAAAUGUGCAAACAUAUUCAUACAGUGGCUAUUCGUGAGGGGUGCCCAGGCCCAGACUGGGUCGACCCUUUUCUUUCCGAAAAUACGAUUGGCUUGCAGGAGGCUUUGCGCCGACUUCAUCGUUUGAACCAUCGGGAACGCUUGAAAAAUGUUUUGCCAAUUGCGGAGGAGAUUGUCUCACUAUUAAAGGUGGAUCGUAAGGUAGACCUCAAUCAGGUCGAGGAGCACCUUCGAGGAGCACUUGUCUUACUUCGCGCCGGAGCCCCUCUACAGACGACUAGGGACGAUGAUGCUAUGAAUGUUAAAAUGUUGAAGGCGUUCAGAGCAAGACAUAUUGCUGAUCGGACGUGGGGAAAGGAUGAUCCCGAAUUUACUGUGCUGUUUAAUGCGGGAAAGCCCAUCAAGCCCAGGAAGGAGGAACUGCUCGACGAAGUCCAAGUAAAAAAAGAACCCAUACUUCUACCGAGCCAAAAGGGAGCAACUCUCCCGCCCAGCAUCCCACCUGUGGUUGUGGGUAGUUCUGAAGUGCGUUCCGGUAAUCGACUGCGAGGGAUUAAACGUUACUAUCCAGAUCUUGAUCAGUUGGUUUUAGCUGGCAGCGCCCAGGGCGCCACCACAGCAAAUCUGCCGCCGCGAUUGCCAAAGCUGACAAACAACUCCGAGUUGCCAACAAAAGCGGCACGUGCGUCAAAUCCAAUGCGAUUGCGACCCUCGACUCGAAGCUUAAAGGCAGCUUCCACUACGUCAAGAUCUUCUACAGAUACUUCAUCUUCAGCAGCUCCAUUGCCAUCCAUAUCGACGCCAGUAGCAGCGACAGCAGAGGAAGGUCCUACGAAAGCAGAAGGAGUAGAUUCGAAUUCUAAUUCGGAGAAGUCGCCACCCUCGAAGUCUAUGGCACCACCACCGAACACCAAGGUUUUUAAGACAAUUGUCCGGCCAAUGAAGAUACCUCUGGCUGACGGCACAUUUCGGCUGGUAUACGUUAAGUCGGAUAGCAGUUCACCUGUUCGGAUAUGUGCUCCACCGAGGCUUUGUAGAACCACUGACGGAAGACCAGUUAUCCGACCGCGGUUUAUGACUUCAACGGAAGGCCCCAAGAUCACAAAGAUUUCUGCCAUUAAGUCGGCGCCGCGUGUUGUCGUCUUCGCUAAUGGCAAGCCUCUAAAACCUAUUGUACCUGUGACCUCAGUCACCUCCGUGGGACCAGCCGGAUUUCAGCAGAUCGAAUCAGCGACGGGACUAAAAAGACAAGCAGCUUCGGAAGAGGCUACCAAUGCUUCUGAAGAUAGUAAUAACAGCAUGAGCAAGCAUAACUCUGUGGAUAAUUACAACGGCCAGUCAGACUCUGACCCGCCGCUAGAAUUUUAUGUCCCUGCUGGUUCUGACGAACUCAUCGAUGCAUCAAAGCAACGCUCUGCUGAGCCAAUAACUGGCGGCCCGCUAAGUACUGGAUCUGAAAAGGCUGCGGAUGUUGAAACCGCUGAGGAUGAUAUGCAAUUGAAAAGUCCUUUGCAGCUAGUGGCAGAUAUCGUCAAGCAAGAAAUUGACGCAGAACCGUUCUAGCAUUAAUAUUCCUUUGUAGAUUAAAUGUGUUACUUUGGAGAAACAAUGUAAUAUAACGCAAAAGAGUGCGUAUCGCUAGGAUGCCACUUAAAGCAUACAUGAACCUCACUCUGGAUAAAUCACCAUGUGCAAAUUACCGUGUAUACCAUGUAUAUCUAGUGCCAGUCAGCAAAGAUCGCCACUUCAUUAUCUAUGCAAAUGACAAGUUCAAAAUAGGUUGUAACGCUGUUAGCUUAAAGAAACGUUGCUGAAAAUUGCUUUAAGUAUUGUGAAGUAUUGAAAUCGUAAAACAUAAUGCCAGGUGUGGACACCGAAAUAUUUAGGAUCAGCUUUUUUCUCAUCGUUGCUUAAUUAUUAUGAUGCCAAGACCGCGUUUUAUUUGAAAAGGACAUGUCGCCAGGACACCAUGCAUAAUGAACGUAUCAUAGAGACAACGUAUAUCGGAAGUAUGUAGGACAUAAGCUCGUCACAAAGAACUGAACUGAAAUCCAUUGCUUUACGAAUCUAAAAGAUGGUGUGCGUCAUGCUAGUCGAAGAAAGAUCUCUCAACUGAAAAAAAGUAGGAAAAGAACGUCAUCUCUACUGCAUUAUUUUUAGGUGAUAAACAUUUGUUACUUGAAAGUAUUAUUUAGGAAGGGUUGGAAAAAAUGACUAAGUAAUUAUAACAAUCAAAUUACCUUAUCAGUUGUUCCAGGAACUAGGCGAAAGUGGCCUGGUAAUACUCCGAAAUAAUAAAGGAUGGAGAACUUCUUGGCAAGGUUCAAGUAAAGAAAGAACACGUAAUUCUACCGAGCCAAAACGAAACCACUGUCCAGCAUUCCUCGUGUAAUAACGAGUGAUUCUGAAGUACGUCGCGCUACUCGUAUGCAAGAAAAGAAAUUUUUCUAUCAAGACUUGGAUUUAGUUGGGAUGCUAUCAUGGCAAACCUGCUCCCACGAUUGCGGAGACUGACAAAAAACUUGCCAAUAAAAUUCACGUCUGUGUCAGAUGCUUCACAAUCAAGAUUCUCGGCUCAAGGCUUGAAGACAAGCUCCACGUUGUCGGAAUCAUCUAAGGCCACUUCUUUAAGUGUGCCAGCUCGUUCGUCGUUCGUAUUGAUGUCACGUCUUGCAACAGUCGCAACACCACCAGUAACAACAAAAACAGAGACUGGUUUCACAAAUAUAGACUCAGCUGGUUCGAAUUCUGACCCAAAGAGGUCGCCACCAUCAAAGUCAAUGGUGUCACCAGUAAAUAUCAAGAUCCUAGAGAAAAUUAGGAAUAAAGAUUCCCCAGGUUGAUGGCACAUUUCUAUCGGUGUACCUUAAAUUGGAUAGCAGUUUACCUGGUAGGAUAUGCGCACCACCAAAACAUUCUAGAACCAAUAGUGGAGCACUGGUUAUCCAAUCGCAGCUUAUUAAUUCGACAGCUGGCCCCAAAAUCAUAAAAAGCUCUGCCAUUAAGUCGGCGCUACGAGUUGUAAUCUUUACUAACGGCCAGCCUUUGAAGCUAGUUAUACCUGUGAUCUCUAGAUCCCUUCUGACGCUUUUAAAAGCAGUAACAGUAAUGUAAGCCGCCAUAUGUCCGGUGCGCCGCUGGAAUUCCAUAUCCCUGCUGGCUCCGACAAUCUCAUCUCCGCGAAGGUGAUAACUAGUAACCCGUCAGGACCUGAAUAUGUGAAAUUUGCAAAAAGACAAACAUCCGAAUAUAACUUGCAGUUAAAAAAAAGUUAAACCGGAAAUUGAUGCGGACUCGUUUUGACCCGGCUGUGCAUGUUAAGGAAGAACAAGUUCCAUUGACAAGAGGUGCAAUUGAAUGGAAGCUGCUGGGUUUGCGGUACUGACCUAAAUGUCAUUCAAAGUAGUGAUGCCACGACCAUAAUUUCAUCUUACUGUGAAUAGUCAGCCAUGUACAAGACACCAUGCCCAAUGCCAGUAACAUUACAAAGACGAUCUAGUUGACAAACAAUGCCGUGUAAUUGCGUUAUAACAGACAUACUGUAUAUAAGACACUGAAAUUAUUUAGGGUUUGUCGAGAUGUAUGUUAGUCUGGUAAGUAGCCGGUGUGAUCCAUAAACAAUUAAUAUAUGGAUCAAAAGAUGACUAGUAAAAUAUAGAUAUGUUGCAAUUAUUCAAUCACAGGCAAUUGCGCUUUCCGUCUAUACAAAAAAGUACGGAUCUCAUGAAUAACACUAUUUGCAUACCAACAAGAAAUAUUAUGUAAGUUGAAUGAAUUUGUCGUCACAUUAAAAACAAUCAAAACAAAGUGUCAUUUUGCACUACACGAUAUAUAAAAACAUGAGUUAACAAAACGAUAGAAACAACAGAAUUAUUUUUUAUUUUCUAUAUACAGUGUUACUGAUCUUGCUUUGCUGUACGGAACUCUGCGUAUAUACAAAAUUUUCCAUUCUAAACGGCAAUUAAUCUUCGAAUAAAACGUGCCGCAUACUCGACUUAUUCUUCGAUAUUUGUAGUGCGAUAAUUACCAGUUCAAAUAGGUUAACUGCGGAGAAAUAGCGGAGACAAUAUCAAUUUUAAGUAGUCGAGAAAUAGGGUAGAAAACUUUUUAAAAAGUUCAAGAUUAAUGUAGAAAAGUCAGAGAAUGAUUAGAAAACAGGUCUAACGUUUCUAUGUGAGAGAUCUCCCAGUUGCACGACGAAAUUUAAUGUGUUUCAAAUAGAACACAAUAGGUUAUCGUCGAAAACGAUUGCAGACGUUGUCAGAACAACUGUAUGGCGUGAUGCCGGAUUAAUCUGAGCGUACUGAUCUGACUAUUUUUCAAGUCUAGAGGUGUUCGAAAUGUUGUGUAAAAUAUUUUUUCAACUCUCACAUGGAUUGCAUCUUCGUUUGCCUCUUAAGCUAACAACUAAAAUGAUAUAUUCUAAUUCUAGUGGAUCCAAACAAGGCUUGUUUUGUUUUAAGAAGGUAAUCAUCAAGCUGACCAUGAUUACGCUAUAUUUGCAAAAUACAAGAUAAAUUAACUAAACCAUAAAUCUUGUAAAGCCGAUAAAUACUAUAGCGACGAAAAAGGCUAUUCGUAUAGAAAAUGACAAUUGCAUUAUUUUUCAGAUAGUCAUUUGGUCCCAAAAUGACGAGUGAUUUACUCCCAAGCUGAAACGAACCAUAGUAAAUGUAAUUGCAUGUAUAGAAAGAGUGGUCCGAUAGCAAAUAAUAAUCGCUUGCUUUGCUAUUACAGUGUAAGCUCGCUAAACUUUAGUGUUCUUGUUCUGCUUGGGAUUUUGGCGAGUUCAGUCCAGAAUACGGUUAAACGUAGUGGAUAUUAGUUUGAUGUUCAGUGACGAUAUUAAGCUAUGAAGAUUGAAGUUCACAUAAAUCGAUGCAUUAGCGAAGAAAAAGAUACGGUUAAUCAGUGAAUUGAAAAAUAAAAAUAGAAAAACAAAUAGAUGUUUAUGUCAGCGCCGUUACAUAAGUCGCCAACAAAAUCGAUACAGCCGUCAAAUGCUUCGCGGUCUCAACGAUCGAAGGCGGUGCCCAUGUCAUCAUGGGUUAUUUUUGGUAAUUUUUUCAGUUUAGGCAGUUUCGCCGUCGGCAGCAAUCGUGAAUACCUCGGCAACCAUGCCACCGAAAUCGAAGUGGCUAUACGCGACAACUGCACCGCAGCUCAUAGGUUCUUUUUUCUUAAUGGAAUUUUAUUGGCAAAUUUUAAAAUGGCAGGUGUCACUGCCUCCGAGCGGCCAGUUCAUAUUUUUCAUUUCGCAAACAGACCAGCUCUAACACCGGUUCUGCUCGUAAUUU